rnacentral:misc_RNA from 1 species
CAGAGUUCUUGCCCUCUGGGUAGAUCUCCCACCCACUGUGAUUGUUACCGUGUUGCUUUGGCGGGCCGUCAGGCCCUGCCUGCCGCUGGCCCCCGCCGGCGCGCGCCCGCCAGAGGCCCUAUAAACUCUGAAUGUUGUGUCGUCCGAGUCGCAUAUAACAGUUA